rnacentral:rRNA from 1 species
CUACGGGAGGCUCCAGUGAGGAAUAUUGCACAAUGGAGGAAACUCUGAUGCAGCAACGCCGCGUGGAGGAUGACGCAUUUCGGUGUGUAAACUCCUUUUAUAUGUCAAGAAAAUGACGGUAGCAUAUGAAUAAGCACCGGCUAACUCCGUGCCAGCAGCCGCGGUAAUACGGAGGGUGCAAGCGUUACUCGGAAUCACUGGGCGUAAAGGACGCGUAGGCGGGAUAUCAAGUCAGGUGUGAAAUCCUACAGCUUAACUGUAGAACCGCACUUGAAACUGGUAACCUAGAGUAUGUGAGGGGGAGAUGGAAUUAGUGGUGUAGGGGUAAAAUCCGUAGAUAUCACUAGGAAUACCUAAAGCGAAGGCGAUCUCCUGGAACAUAACUGACGCUAAGGCGUGAAAGCGUGGGGAGCAAACAGGAUUAGAUACCCCGGUAGUC